AUACGUAGGGGGCGAGCGUUAUCCGGAAUUAUUGGGCGUAAAGAGUGCGUAGGUGGUUAUUUAAGCGUGUGGUGAAAGGCAAUAGCUCAACUAUUGUAAGCCUUGCGAACUGGAUAACUUGAGUGCAGGAGAGGAAAGCGGAAUUCCUAGUGUAGCGGUGAAAUGCGUAGAUAUUAGGAGGAACACCAGUGGCGAAGGCGGCUUUCUGGACUGUAACUGACACUGAGGCACGAAAGCGUGGGGAGCAAACAGGAUUAGAUACCCUGGUAGUCCACGCCGUAAACGAUGAGCACUAGGUGUCGGGGUCGCAAGGCUUCGGUGCCGCAGUUAACGCAUUAAGUGCUCCGCCUGGGGAGUACGUACGCAAGUAUGAAACUCAAAGGAAUUGACGGGG
rnacentral:rRNA from 1 species